rnacentral:rRNA from 1 species
GGCCUAUUGAGAAUAAUUUUAGGUCUGACCUGCCCAAUGAUUAAUAUGAUUUAAUGGCCGCGGUAUAUUGACUGUGCAAAGGUAGCAUAAUCAUUAGUUUUUUAAAUGAAAGCUGGAAUGAAUGGUUUGAUGAAAAAGUAGCUGUCUCUAUUUAAUUUUUUUUUGAAUUUUAUUUUUAAGUGAAAAAGCUUAAAUUUUUAUAGAAGACGAGAAGACCCUAUAGAGUUUUAUAUUUAUAUGUGUAAAAAUUAUUUAGAAUUAUAAGUUUUAUUUAUAUAUUUAUUUAAUUGGGGUGAUUGAAAAAUUUAAGAAACUUUUUUUUAAUUGAAGUCAUUUAUUUAUGAAUUUAUGAUCCUUAUUUAAAGAUUAAAAGAUAAAAUUACCUUAGGGAUAACAGCGUAAUUUUUUUUGAAAGUUCUUAUUAAAAAAAAAGAUUGCGACCUCGAUGUUGGAUUAAAUUUAAUUUUUGGUGUAGAAGCUAAGAUAUUAGGUCUGUUCGACCUUUAAAAAUUUACAUGAUCUGAGUUUAAACCGGUGUGAG